ACAGUCAGUUUCUACUCAGGCAGAGGAAUCUGUGCAGCUGAGAUCCAGGACAUUACAGAGACUCUUGGCGGAUCUCCUGCGCGUCGCGCCCAGUCAGUGAAACAGGCCCACUGCAUGAUGCUUCCACCACCAUGCUUGACAACUGAAACAGCGUCCUUAGGAGCUGCUGGUCAUCUUCUCCACUGCCAUCAUUCAGUCUGUCCUGUCUUCGUCCAUCUCAGUGUCCACUAAGCAGGACAGGUCCAGACUGCAACCAACAAUCAGGUCUGAAACCAAUUCCUUGUUUGUG